rnacentral:lncRNA from 1 species
AUUCCACCUCCACAGCCUUGGUAGUCUCCUCCCAUGAGGACUUGAAAUUUGGCCAUGUGACUUGCUUUGGCCAAUGGGAUGUCAGCAAGCUUGAUAUAAGACGCAGCUUGAAGAACGCUUGUGUUUUGGGGCUUGCCCUUUCAGAAUGCUACCUCCAGGUGAUGAAACAUGACCAGCUGACAGCCAACACCAACCUCUAGACAUGUGUGUGAGGCCAUAUUAGACCCCACCCCUCCACCCAGGCUCAGCUGAACUGCCAGAUAGAUGGCUUCGGCAGCAUGAACCAUCAGGCACAACCAGCAGAAGAACCACUAGGAGCUACGCAAUCACAAAGGUCACUUCUUCAGUCAAGUGCAGCAGAUGGGAUCUUGAAAGUGCCUACAAGUAGUCUAGAACACCUUGAAUCCGGCUGUGAAAAUGUAGGGUAAAUCUGUAGCUCUCAGUAGGUAAACACCUUAUUUAGGUCUGGAGGCAUUUUGCUAUGUUAUUGAGUCAUGGAAACCUAUUAAAAGAGCUCUAUGGGAAAUCCAGUCUAUAUUUUGAACAAAACAAGCUGUCUUUUUCAUUGUCACUGACCCUUUACAGACACACAGUACAUAAUCUUGAUUGUGCUUCAUUGGUAUUUAUUGCACAUGGACCAAUUCCUCACACAGUAGUUAGUUGCACC